GCGUGCUUUUGAAAUCUAUUUCGUUUCAAGCUCCAGAAGGCAAUAACAUCUGACGUCAUUGACUCCGUGCGAAGGUAUACAUUCAGCGAAUCAAUUCCGGAUAGACAUGGAAGAAGAUUAUCAACUAACAGUGAGAUCGACUUAGAAUGGGAGCAAUUGAGUGUGUUUAAGUUGUCGUCUGCGCACUUCUGAAGGCGUAUGCAGCUGAACCGUCGUGCCCGGUGUGUUCUAAGUAUCAAUAUGAAGGGAUGCUUCUGGAGAGGAUGCUUAUGGAACGAAAUCAAAUGGGAACAGAUCGUAAAUGACUUUAAAUCCAUCAAUGACAAGUUCAAUUCUGCCCUUGAUGAAGCCAGCGUGAAAAUUGAACAGUUGACCUCGAGACUUGAGAAACAAAAUCAAAUGGUGGAUGAAGCCAGUGGGAAAAUUCAAAACUUGACGUUGGGACUUGACAAACAAAAUCAAGUGGUUAAUAAAGCCAGCGUGAAAAUUGAAAACUUGACGUUGUGACUUGAGAAACAAAAUCAGGUGGUUAAUGCAGCCAGCGUGAAAAUUGAAGACUUGACGUUGGGACAUGAGAAACAAAAUCAAGUGGUUAAUGCAGCCAGCGUGAAAAUUGAAAACUUGACGUUGGGACUUGAGAAACAAAAUCAAGUGGUUAAUGCAGCCAGCGUAAAAAUUGAAAACUUGACGUUGGGACUUGAGAAACAAAAUCAAGUGGUUAAUGCAGCCAGCGUGAACAUUGAAAACUUGACGUUGGGACUUGAGAAACAGAAGCUUGAUAUGGAUCUUAUAACUCUCCGCUCACAAAAAGAAGCCUACUUGGUUCGAUGAGGAAAAACAUGAAGGCAACGACGACAGCUUUGGAACAAAUGGGUACUAUCUGGGAUUUGACCGAUUAUCGCAAAAGUUCGCAAUGGUCGCAACUUGUGACAAUCAGCAAACAGUUAAGAUAUUUAGAGGUGUUCCACUGGAUUCUACUGACGACGCAUGCCCACUGAGAACCACAUCCUACACUGAACAGGGAUAUGCCGACUCAUUUAGGAGUGCAGAAAACAAUGAACGGACGCACCAUGACGUCGUUCCGCAAAGCCCAAUCUGUCUUUCUUUUGAGAACCUGGACAUCGACUUCUCUAUGAGAAUUAUCGAAGAAAAGGAAGAAGAGGAACAAGAUCUCGAUGAUGGACUAGAAUAAUAAAUAACAGGAUAAGAAUGCAAUUAAAAAAAAAUCAAAGAAGAAGGUAUUGAACCCUAACCUCACUUCGUGGAAAGCGCAUAACACCGAACGAGCACAAUUUAUUUCAGUGUUUUAUAUCAUCGUAUUUAUCAAAACAAAUUGUGCUACCUAAAAUAACAAAUCACAACACGGAAACCUGUCAAACUAUUACGACGACACGUAGAUAAUCUUUUAUAUUGUGAUCAAAAAGUUUUAUUAUUAUUUAACAACAUAUCAGUCUGUUUGUUUGUUCUUCUGUUUUGCAUAUAAAACUUGUCGUGUUAAAGUGUUGAACAGCAAUACACACGAAAAAUAGUUAAAAACAAAUCAAGCUCUUAUGAUAGUGGGUUUUGUCCGUUUUUUAUCAAUGUGUAAUCUGGUUCUGACGACUAAGAAUAUAAAGAUCGUACAUAGAAGUUUAAACGCCCUUACUAUGUUACAUCAGUUUGACCGUUUCUUACUGAUGUGUUACGAUGAUUUGAAAUGUGCAAUAAUGAUGAUCUGUCCUGAAUUAUUGUCAUAAAGAAAGAUAGAAGUUUGUGCUUGUAUUUAUUUUAUUACAUCAAAGUCGCGUACCUUUUGCUCUGUGAAUAUUUAACCAUUGUGUGAUUGAAUUGCAAUUUAUUUAUGUUUUAUUGUUGUUUUAAUAUAUUUGCGACAUUAUGAGAUUAAUGCAUAAUUACACUUGUACCUUCUGUGAAUAAGUCGUGGCUAAAUGUUUUAUAUUAAGCAAACAAUGAAACUCCAGAACAUCUUAUUCGAAGAUGAUUUUUUGUUUUUGUCCACUAGGCCACUCCAAAUUGAUUUGUUGGUCGUCGGAUUUGCCGCACCUAUUUUUUCAAAAUGGAAAAAAACGUAUUUUUUAUUACCGCUCGCACUCAUUUUUGUGUCCUUCUGUAACCAUAGCGCAUGUGUUUUUUUUAAUUGGUGAUAAAAGAAAAAAAAGCAAUAUCGCAGAAACGAUUUUGACGCUGAAUAUGAAUGCCAAAUAAAGUGUUUCGUAACCUUUUUAAUAGAUAACUGUAGUCGCUCGAAAAUUCGAUCGAUAAUACUCCUAUAAAUAUGAGGUCGAUCGUUCCGAUCAUAUCGGAAGCUGUAACGGCUGCAAAUUCAUAUAACAGCACAGAAUCUUCUUGGAAGAGUUAUUCAAUAUAAAAAUAUAAACAUUAUUUUACUAAUUGCUAUUCCUGAUAUGAAAACACUAGCUUUAGACUUGUGUUCUACAUUUUAAAGUUUAAGUGCUGAAACCUUAUUUUAGUGCAUUUUUAUUUGAAAAUUAUGUAACUCAUAGAUAUAGUAUUGUACAAAGAUUCUUUUCUUUGUAUAAGAAUUUAUUUGAAUGUAAACUAAAGCUGUUUAAACCUGCAUCUCUUGUUAAUGCAAUAUUUUUCUAUCGAAAUGUGAUUUUUUUAUUCUUCGCUCUUCGCUCGCUCGAAAAUGUUCCUGUUUUCAAAUAUUUUUUUUGCUCGCCUCUUCAACUUUAAAAAAAAAUCCGUAGACCAACAAAUCAAUCUGUAGUGGCCCUACUUUUAUAUCAGAAACCUGUAACAGACAUAAAAUGAUUAAACUGGUAUUAAACCUGUUAAAUCCAUAAUGCCUUUUCUUGACCAUUCGAAGACGGCGCCUCCAGCUUUAAUCAAUUGUUAUUGUUUAUGUUGCCUAGUUUGUAUUGCCCUUAAUUAUAACGACAAUAAUAGAUUAUCUUAAAUAAAAGAUUAUCGAAGAUAGACAACAAUUUCUCGUUUGAGCAUGUUUCUGGAGUUGACACAUGACAACGAGUCAAAUUGGUUUGUUUCUUUAUUUGAAUUGUCAAGUUUUAUCGUUUUCUUUUCUUAAAUUUAGCAUGUAGCCAAAAUUAGAGAUUAAAUAUUUUAUGAAUUCGUAAACCAAUUGUUAACCUACAUGCAUAUGUCAAACAGACCCAAUCCAUUAAGAAGCUUUUGAAAAUAAAACAAAUUGGGUUUUUUACCAUUAACAGUUAACAAUUGGUUCAUUCGUUAUAACACUCAUACAUUCGUUUCUUGUCAGUAUCCUUUUCAAACAUAUUGUUGUAAACACUAUAUUUAUAAAAUAUGCGCAUGUUUAGCAGUGUUGUAUAUAUUUACGAAGAAUUGAAUUGCAUGUAUCAGAAUAUUACUGUUUCAUUUUUAUAUUCAUUGUAUUAAUACGAAUACAAUUAUUACGUUAUUAUAUCAAGAGGGCAUUUUAAAUUAGCAUGUUAUUUUAGAUUGAUAAUACCGAUAGAUAAUGCUGACUUCCACCACAUGCUAAUAGCGUUUUAUAAAGUAUGACGUGGUUA